rnacentral:rRNA from 1 species
AACUGUGCGCGGUGGAUCACUUGGCUCGUGCGUCGAUGAAGAGUGCAGCCAACUGUGUGAAUUAAUGUUAAUCGCAGACUGCUUUGAACGUCGACAUCUUGAACGCAUAUUGCGGCCAUAGGCUUGCCUGCGGCCACGUCUGUCCGAGCGUCG